AAUAAAUACAGUCAUGAGUUUUCGCGUCUAACUUUAAUCGUCCGUCUUAUUUAAAAUUUUUUUAUAAUUAGCAAUUUUGUUGUUAUAAUAUGAUAAAACAUGAAUAGUACUUUACUCGUGAUUUAUGUUUUUAAUUUUUUUCAAAAAAUUUUCAAAUAAGACGAAUGGUCAAAGUUGAGCGCUGAAAAUCAUGGGUGCACUUAUU
rfam:Oryza glumipatula chromosome 4, whole genome shotgun sequence.